rnacentral:tRNA from 1 species
GUUCUUGUAGUUGAAAGUACAACGAUGGUUUUUCAGGCCGUAUGUCCUAGUUAGUAGCUAGGUAAGAACU